CGGGGCACAGCAGAGAACAUGGGUGUGCACUUGUGCAGCUACAAUGGUGCCUGUGAAAAUUUCUUACAAGCCACCAAACAAAGUGUACUUAAGAAAUGCUUUUAACCUUGGGCUGCUGCAACGAGCUCCCGGGUGGUGAUCUUGCGGCCUUGGUGCUUCCUCCAAACUCGACCUCUUCAUAUUUACCUGUACCCAACUCAAGUGCCAGCUGGAGCUUCUGGCUUGAAGACGCCAACAAAAGCACAUCAUCAGUGAAAAGCAAAGAGAAGAUCCUGAGGUUCCCUAUCCUGAAACCCUCAUUACCAUGACUAUGCCUUUAAUUCCAUUCUAUAACAACUACAAACAGAAGAGUGAAAAAGUCAAAACCAAGACACAGCUAAGAUGUGCUGCUCAUUGGCAUGGCAACAACUUCCUAAAUCAAGAAGCUGGAUUCAAAACUUAAGUUCUUACUCCAAAACAGAAUCGUACUCAAUCAAGUGUUAUGGCAGUUCCUUUUUCCAACUUGAUAUAUUUAUUCAUUAUCCAACCCAUAGAAACAUAGAUUUGCUGUUCAAUGUGCUGUCUGUAAAAAACAGGGAAACACAUUGGAACUGUAACCAAACGGAUUUACAGAUACAAAAUAAAUUAAUAUACUUGCUUAAAACGCAGAAAAAGAUACCCUGGUAAAAACUAAAAUUGAACAUUUUGACCUUAAAUGGAUAAUUCUUAGUGUGGUGUCAUUUUAACAUAGCCACCUAUGUAAAGCACAGUGGUGGCAGUGUGAUGUUGUAAACACCUAUUAAAUAGCAAAAACUGUGUUGAAGCUCAAUUAAUUCAGCUUGACAGAACUGCAGACUUUCUACUUUGAUAACCAUAAAUCUGACAGUGUGGAUGUGACAAGGAUUUGAAGACACAGAUGAAGAGUCCUCCUGCAAAAUCAGGCUCUUGAGGUGAAUUGUUACGAAAUCUUCUAUUUUUUGUCCUCUUUCUUGGUUCACUCAUGUAAAUAUUUUGCAUCUUAAAAGUGAAAGGCAUCUUGCAUUUGUCAUAUAAAGCAAACGUCAUGAAUAUCCUGAAAGAACUAGUACAAAGAGACCCAAAACUUUCAUAAUAUGCUGGCUAAUGACCAAGAUAAAUUCAGUGAAAUUUAAAAUACGGAAUCAAACUGUUAACUGUGUUGUUUUAGAUAUUUUCUAUGACUUGUAAUUAAGUUUUUCCCUCAAUGAUCAUUUAGAAAAUUCUUUUCCAAAAUAAAUUUUUAUAGUGGAGGUUUUGUAUGACCACUGACUCCCAGUAAUGCAACAAGCACCCCAACAAGUGUGAAAGCCAGUCUGACUGUGUUGCAGAUCAUGUUAAGAUAAUUGUUCAGCCUUCAGUGCCGGAUCACGGUCAGUCAUGGUGUUAGCCUUUGACAUAAACUAUGCAAUUGCAAUGGCAGCCUGUUUGAUAUCAGUACCUAAUGUCAGUAAUGUGAUGGAUAGGCCUUGCCUCUGCUUCAGAUAAAGCCAGAAUAUAAAUCCAUAAAUAAUCAACCUCUCUGUGACAUUUUAGCAGGGGUGAUAAAAUAUAUUUAGAAG